GGGAGCUAAGUUCCGUGGUCAAAAGGGAAAGAGCCCAGAUCGUCAAUUAAGGUCCCAAAGAUAUAGUUAAGUGGAAAACGAUGUGAUUUUGCGUAAACAACCAGGAUGUUGGCUUAGAAGCAGCCAUACAUUUAAAGAGUGCGUAAUAGCUCACUGGUCGAGUGAAGUUGCGCGGAAAAUUACCGGGGCUAAACUAUACACCGAAAUUGCGGAUUCAUGAGUAAUCAUGAGUGGUAGAGGAGCAUUCUAUAGUAGGACGAAGCAUGAUCGAAAGGACAUGUGGACGAGAUAGAAGAGAGAAUGCCGGAAUAAGUAGCGAGAGCAAAGUGAGAAUCUUUGCCGUCGAAAGUCUAAGGUUUCCUAGGGAAGGUUCGUCCGCCUAGGGUAAGUCGGGACCUAAGGUGAGGCCGAAAGGCGUAGCCGAUGGAUAGCAGGUUGAAAUUCCUGCACUACAGGUAUACUUAAAAAGCGUAAGGGACGCAGGAGAGGAAGAUAAGCGAGGAAGAGGAAAAACUCGUAUCGAAAGAUAUAGUGAAAAUAACAAGUAACGAAUUAUCAAGAAUCACACUGACAAGAAAAGCUUACGAGCAUUGUAUAUCAGUACCCGUACCGCAAACCGACACAGGUAGAUGAGGAGAGGAUCCUAAGACGAGCGGGAGAAGCAUUGUUAAGGAACUCGGCAAAUUGACCCCGUAACUUCGGGAGAAGGGGUACCUAUGUAAAAGUAGGUCGCAGAGAAGAGGCCCAAGCAACUGUUUAACAAAAACACAGGUUUCUGCUAAAUCGAAAGAUGAAGUAUAGGAGCUGACGCCUGCCCAGUGCUGGAAGGUCAAGGGGAAAGGUUAUCCGUAAGGAGAAGCUUUGAACCAAAGCCCCAGUGAACGGCGGCCGUAACUAUAACGGUCCUAAGGUAGCGAAAUUCCUUGUCAGGUAAGUUCUGACCCGCACGAAAGGCGUAAUGAUUUGGGCGCUGUCUCAACAAUGUACCCGGCGAAAUUGUAGUACUAGUGAAGAUGCUAGUUACCUGCGACAAGACAGAAAGACCCCAUGGAGCUUUACUGCAGCUUGAUACUGGGUUUCGGUAAUUUAUGUACAGGAUAGGUGGGAGACUGAGAAGGCAGAGCGUCAGCUUUGCUGGAGUCACUGUUGGGAUACCACCCUUAAGUUACUGAAAUUCUAACCAUGAAUCGUAAACCGGUUCGGGGACAAUGUCAGGCGGGCAGUUUGACUGGGGCGGUCGCCUCCUAAAGAGUAACGGAGGCGCCCAAAGGUUUCCUCAGCGCGGACAGAAAUCGCGCGGAAGAGUGUAAAGGCAGAAGGAAGCUUAACUGAAAGACAGACAUGUCGAGCAGAUACGAAAGUAGGGCUUAGUGAUCCGGCGGUAGUGAAUGGAAAUGCCGUCGCUCAACGGACAAAAGUUACCCUGGGGAUAACAGGCUUAUCUCUCCCAAGAGUUCACAUCGACGGGGAGGUUUGGCACCUCGAUGUCGGCUCAUCGCAUCCUGGAGCGGAAGUACGUUCCAAGGGUUGGGCUGUUCGCCCAUUAAAGCGGUACGCGAGCUGGGUUCAGAACGUCGUGAGACAGUUCGGUCCUUAUCUGUCGCAGGCGUAGGAUAUUUGAAAGGAGCUGUCCUUAGUACGAGAGGACCAGGAUGGACAUACCGAUGGUGUAUCAGUUGUCACACCAGUGGCACGGCUGAGUAGCUAAGUAUGGAAGGGAUAAACGCUGAAAGCAUCUAAGUGUGAAGCCCACCUUAAGAUAAGAUAUCCCAUACUGUUAAAGUAGUAAGAUUCCAGGAAGACGACCUGGUUGAUAGGCUGGAGGUGGAAGUGCAGUAAUGCAUGUAGCUGACCAGUACUAAUAGAUCGAGGGCUUAACCAC
rnacentral:rRNA from 1 species